rnacentral:rRNA from 1 species
CCUACGGGAGGCUGCAGUGGGGAAUAUUGGACAAUGGGCGAAAGCCUGAUCCAGCCAUGCCGCGUGUGUGAAGAAGGCCUUCGGGUUGUAAAGCACUUUCAGUGGGGAAGAAAGCCUUGGGGCUAAUACCCUCGAGGAAGGACAUCACCCACAGAAGAAGCACCGGCUAACUCCGUGCCAGCAGCCGCGGUAAUACGGAGGGUGCGAGCGUUAAUCGGAAUUACUGGGCGUAAAGCGCGCGUAGGCGGUCUGAUAAGCCGGUUGUGAAAGCCCCGGGCUCAACCUGGGAACGGCAUCCGGAACUGUCAGGCUAGUGUGCAGGAGAGGAAGGUAGAAUUCCCGGUGUAGCGGUGAAAUGCGUAGAGAUCGGGAGGAAUACCAGUGGCGAAGGCGGCCUUCUGGACUGACACUGACGCUGAGGUGCGAAAGCGUGGGUAGCAAACAGGAUUAGAUACCCGGGUAGUC